AGGACGAACGCUGGCGGCGUGCUUAACACAUGCAAGUCGAACGAGGUUACUGAAGAGCUUGCUCUGAGGUAGACCGAGUGGCGGACGGGUGAGUAACGCGUGAGGAACCUGUCUUACACAGGGGGAUAACGCACCGAAAGGUGUGCUAAUACCGCAUAAGACCACACUUUCGCAUGGAAGAGGGGUCAAAGGAGCGAUCCGGUGUAAGGUGGACUCGCGUCCCAUUAGGCAGUUGGCGGGGUAACGGCCCACCAAACCGACGAUGGGUAGCCGACCUGAGAGGGUGAUCGGCCACAUUGGAACUGAGACACGGUCCAAACUCCUACGGGAGGCAGCAGUGGGGAAUAUUGGGCAAUGGGCGCAAGCCUGACCCAGCAACGCCGCGUGAGGGAAGAAGGUUUUCGAAUUGUAAACCUCUGUCCUCGAUGAAAAGUAGAAGAUGGUAAUUGAGGAGGAAGCCCCGGCUAACUACGUGCCAGCCGCUGC
rnacentral:rRNA from 1 species